GAAGGCCUUCGGGUUGUAAACCUCUUUCGUAGAGGAGGAAGGGACUGUGAAGAGCAGUUCUUGACCUAUUCUAGGAAGAAGCUUGGGCUAAGUUCGUGCCAGCAGCCGCGGUAAGACGAACCAAGCGAACGUUAUUCGGAAUUACUGGGCUUAAAGCGCGUGUAGGCGGACUGCCACGUCGGUUGUUGAAAUCCCCCGGCUUAACCGGGGAACAGGCACCGAUACGAGUAGUCUUGAGGUGGGUAGGGGAGACUGGAACUUCCGGUGGAGCGGUGAAAUGCGUUGAGAUCGGAAGGAACGCCCGCGGCGAAAGCGAGUCUCUGGCCCCAUACUGACGCUGAGACGCGAAAGCCAGGGGAGCAAACGGGAUUAGAUACCCCGGUAGUCCUGGCUGUAAACAUUGGGCACUGGGUAGUGGAACCGCCGAUGGUUUCACUGCCGCAGGGAAACCGUGAAGUGCCCCGCCUGGGGAGUAUGGUCGCAAGGCUGAAACUCAAAGGAAUUGACGGGGGCUCACACAAGCAGUGGAGUAUGUGGCUUAAUUCGAGGCUACGCGAAGAACCUUACCUAGGCUUGACAUGCAAGGAUUAGUCGGCGGAAACGUCGAUGACGCCGCAAGGUGGAACUUGCACAGGUGCUGCAUGGCUGUCGUCAGCUCGUGCCGUGAGGUGUUGGGUUAAGUCCCGUAACGAGCGAAACCCCUGUGUCCAGUUGCCAGCGCGUAAAGGCGGGGACUCUGGACAGACCGCCGGUGUUAAACCGGAGGAAGGCGGGGACGACGUCAAGUCAUCAUGGCCCUUAUGCCUAGGGCUGCACACGUACUACAAUGGGCCGGACAAAGCGACGCAAGACCGCGAGGUGGAGCAAAUCGCAAAAACCGUCCCCCAGUUCAGAUUGCACUCUGCAAUUCGAGUGCAUGAAGUUGGAAUUGCUAGUAAUCGCGGAUCAGCACUGCCGCGGUGAAUGUGUUCCCUGA
rnacentral:rRNA from 1 species